UGGCGAGGUAGCUCAGUUGGUGAGAGCGUCGGAUUCAUAACCCGGAGGUCGGGAGUUCAAAUCUCCCUCUCGCUACA
rnacentral:tRNA from 1 species